rnacentral:rRNA from 1 species
CGGGACCGGGUUUUCCGGUUUUUCCUGCCCCCCGGUUCAGGGGAAACCGUUUGGUUUCCUUCCAGUGGCCCCCGGGCCCUUAAUAUUUGGGGGUAAGGUUCCCCAAGGGGCGAUGGGUAACCGCCUGAGGGUGAUCGGCCCCCCUGGAUGAGACCCGGCCCAGAUUCUUCGGGAGGCAGCAGUAGGGAUUCUCCGCAAUGGACGAAAGUCUGACGGAGCAACGCCGCGUGAGUGAUGAAGGUUUUCGGAUCGUAAAGCUCUGUUGUUAGGGAAGAACAAGUGCGAGAGUAACUGCUCGCACCUUGACGGUACCUAACCAGAAAGCCACGGCUAACUACGUGCCAGCAGCCGCGGUAAUACGUAGGUGGCAAGCGUUGUCCGGAAUUAUUGGGCGUAAAGGGCUCGCAGGCGGUUUCUUAAGUCUGAUGUGAAAGCCCCCGGCUCAACCGGGGAGGGUCAUUGGAAACUGGGAAACUUGAGUGCAGAAGAGGAGAGUGGAAUUCCACGUGUAGCGGUGAAAUGCGUAGAGAUGUGGAGGAACACCAGUGGCGAAGGCGACUCUCUGGUCUGUAACUGACGCUGAGGAGCGAAAGCGUGGGGAGCGAACAGGAUUAGAUACCCUGGUAGUCCACGCCGUAAACGAUGAGUGCUAAGUGUUAGGGGGUUUCCGCCCCUUAGUGCUGCAGCUAACGCAUUAAGCACUCCGCCUGGGGAGUACGGUCGCAAGACUGAAACUCAAAGGAAUUGACGGGGGCCCGCACAAGCGGUGGAGCAUGUGGUUUAAUUCGAAGCAACGCGAAGAACCUUACCAGGUCUUGACAUCCUCUGACAACCCUAGAGAUAGGGCUUUCCCUUCGGGGACAGAGUGACAGGUGGUGCAUGGUUGUCGUCAGCUCGUGUCGUGAGAUGUUGGGUUAAGUCCCGCAACGAGCGCAACCCUUGAUCUUAGUUGCCAGCAUUCAGUUGGGCACUCUAAGGUGACUGCCGGUGACAAACCGGAGGAAGGUGGGGAUGACGUCAAAUCAUCAUGCCCCUUAUGACCUGGGCUACACACGUGCUACAAUGGACAGAACAAAGGGCUGCAAGACCGCAAGGUUUAGCCAAUCCCAUAAAUCUGUUCUCAGUUCGGAUCGCAGUCUGCAACUCGACUGCGUGAAGCUGGAAUCGCUAGUAAUCGCGGAUCAGCAGCCGACAGGAAUGCGGGU